rnacentral:rRNA from 1 species
AUUGAACGCUGGCGGCAGGCCUAACACAUGCAAGUCGAGCGGAUGAAGGGAGCUUGCUCCUGGAUUCAGCGGCGGACGGGUGAGUAAUGCCUAGGAAUCUGCCUGGUCGUGGGGGAUAACGUCCGGAUACGGGCGCUAAUACCGCAUACGUCCUGAGGGAGCAAGUGGGGGAUCUUCGGACCUAAUGCUAUCAGAUGAGCCUAGGUCGGAUUAGAUAGUUGGUGGGGUAAAGGCCUUCCAAGGCGACGAUCCGUAACUGGUCUGAGAGGAUGAUCAGUCACACGGGAACUGAGACACGGUCCAGACUCCUACGGGAGGCAGCAGUGGGGAAUAUUAGACGAGGGGCGAAAGCCUGAUCCAGCCAUGCCGCGUAUGUGAAGAAGGUCUUCGGAUUGUAAAGCACUUUAAGUUGGGAGGAAGGACAGUAAGUUAAUACCUUGCUGUUUUGACGUUACCAACAGAAUAAGCACCGGCUAACUUCGUG